rnacentral:tRNA from 1 species
GGCGGGUUGGCGAAACGGUACCGCGCAGGCGUGCAAAGCCUGAGAUCCUGGUUCGAUUCCAGGGCCCGCCUCCA